GAAUGGCGUGAACCCGGGAGGCAGGGCUUGCAAUGAGCCAAGAUCGCGCCACUGCACUCCAGCCUGGGCGACAGAGCGAGACUCCGUCUCAGAAAAAAAAAAAAAGAAAGAAAUUGGCUUGGAGAUUUUUCGCCGGCCACUCCUUCUUGAGCCCUGACUGAAAAGAAAAAUGAACAGGGCUACCUUCUGCCUGGACUCACCCAAAAGCCGGUCUCCUGCAGCCUGAAGCUCUUGUACCUCUAGGCUGAAGAUGAUGAGGAUCACAGGAGGAGGAAGGCUGCCAACUUCAUGUUGCUGUUGGAAGGCUUUGGAAAAACACAGCAGGGCUGAGAGCAGCUGAAAUUUAUACCUUCCACCCGCUGAGCUGGAAUGCAAGGCCAGGGGUGGGACUAGGGACUGCAGACACCUAAGCCCUGCCCAGAAACUGACAUUUCUGGAGAAUAGCCACCCACCCUGUGUACCCUGGGUCCUUCUACAUUACCUAAGCAAGGCUCUGAGCCAAGGGAACGCCCUCCUCUGACAGAAAAAUAAGACUCCUACACCAGGCCAGUUGCAGUGGCUCACAUCUGUAAUCCCAGCACUUUGGGAGGCCAAGGCAGGAGGAUCAUUUGAGCCCAGGAGUUCAAGACCAGCCUGGGUAACAAGAGCAAGACCCUGUCUCUACAAAAUUAAAAAAAAAAAAAGUUAAAUAAUGAAAAA
rnacentral:lncRNA from 10 species